GAUCGCUCCAGCCCAGGAGUUUGUGACCAGCCUGGUCAACAUGAGACCCCUGUCUCUACUUUUAAAAAUUAAAAAAAAAAAAAAAAAAAAAAAGAUAUUUUGGGCAGAGAGAAGUGGCUGUGCAAAGGUGGGUGUUUGCUGAGUUAGUUCAAGGAGCAGAAAGGAGGCUGCCAGGGUAUGAGGGGCAGAGCGCCUGGGGAGUUUGUGUUUGUCUGAGGGGGAUGGGAAAGGGAGUGUUAUUUGGGCUGUGAGAAAAGCUCUUCCUUGCUGUCUGGUGAGAGUAGAGGUGGGAGGCCUCCAGGCCAAGGCAGGUGUGUGGGGCCCCAAGGCAGGUGUGUGGGGCCCCAAGGCCCAGCUGGUGAGAGAACCUCACAGCUCCCAGGCUUUUCUUCCCCACCAGCCUCCCUGCCCUUCGCUAUCCUGACGCUGGUGAACGCCCCGUACAAGCGAGGAUUUUACUGCGGGGAUAACUCCAUCCGGUACCCCUACCGUCCAGAUACCAUCACCCACGGGCUCAUGGCUGGGGUCACCAUCACGGCCACCGUCGUCCUUGUAAGGCAGGAGGGGCUCAGAGGGACUGGGUAGGGGGAUGGGGUGGGGCACAGCUUUACCCUGGGGGCCUGAUGGGGGGUGGCACAGCCCUGCCCUGGAGGUCUGUGUGGGGCCGGGGGACACAGCCUUGCCCUGAGUGGUACCUGUGGGUAAUAGGGCCCCCUUCAGAGUCCCCAGCUCUCCAGCAGCCUUGGGGAGGCCCGUGCGGAGGAGUGAGGGCCCCUGGGCUGACCGAGAUCCCCACUGGUUCCUGCGGCUGCUCUUGCAGGUCUCGGCUGGGGAAGCCUACCUGGUGUACACAGACCGGCUCUAUUCUCGCUCGGACUUCAACAACUACGUGGCUGCUGUAUACAAGGUGCUGGGGACCUUCCUGUUUGGGGCUGCCGUGAGCCAGUCUCUGACAGACCUGGCCAAGUACAUGAUUGGGCGUCUGAGGCCCAACUUCCUAGCCGUCUGCGACCCCGACUGGAGCCGGGUCAACUGCUCGGUCUACGUGCAGCUGGAGAAGGUGUGCAGGGGAAACCCUGCUGAUGUCACCGAGGCCAGGUGGGUGUGGACCAGCAGCCUUCACUCUUGUGGGGAAUGGGAGCUGAAGAAGGCCCUGAAGCCAAAUCAUGAAGAGCCAGCAGGCAGCUGAGACUAUAGGCGUGCGCCACCACGCCUGGCUAAUUUUUGUAUAAGUUAGUGCAUUCUUGUAUGUUUUUGAAGUUCAUCCAUGUUGUAACAUUCUGUCAGUUUUUGCUUUAAGUAUUUUGCGGUUCUGUUGUUUAGUACAUUUACCUUUGUAAUUGUUAUAUAUUUUUGAAAGAUUGACCAUUUCAUCAUCAUAGAAUGAGAUAUAUGAGUUUUGUCUCAACAAUUUUUGUCUUGAUGUCUGUUUUGUCUGAUAUUAAUAUAGCUAUUCUGGUUCUCUUUUUGUUAUUGUUUGCACGGAAUAUUUUUUUUUUCCAUUCUUGGACUUUCAACCUGUUUAUGUCUCUGACUGUAAAGUAAGUGUCUUAUACCUAGCAUGAAAUUGGGCCAUGUUUUUUAAUGUAUUGUCCAAUCUCUGAUUUUUUUUGAGACAGAGGCUCACUCUGUCACCCAGGCUGGAGUGCAAUGAUCUGAGCUCACUGCAGCCUCGGACUCCCAGGCUCAAGCCGUCUUCCCACCUGAGCCUCCUGAGUAGCUAGGACUACAGGCACGUGCCACCACAUCCAGCUACUGUUUAUUUUUUUUUUGGUAGAAACGGGGUUUUGCCAUAUUGCCCAGGCUGGUCUUGAACUCCUGAGCUCAAGUGAUCCGCCCACUUUGGCCUCCUAAAGUGCUGGGAUUACAGGUGUAUGCCACCACAUCCAGCCAGAUCUCUGACUUUUUUUUUUAUGUUUUAAAAAUUAUAUAUUAAUCUUUUUAUUGAAUUAAGGCAUUUAAUGAAACUUUGACUUUUAAUUGGAGUGUUUAUUUAUAUUCAAUGUAAUUACUGAUAAGGAAGGACCUCUGUCAUUUUGUUGAGGUUUGCUUAGGUUGUAUCUUGUUUUUUCAAUUCCUCAUUACUGUCUUUUUUUGUUUGUUUGUUUUGCUUUUAAUUUUUUUUUUUCCUUUUAGAGAUGGGGGUCUUGCUAUCUUGCCCAGGACUUGAACUCCUGGGCUCAAACCAUCCUCCCACCUCUGCCUUCCAAGUAGCUGGUACUACGGGCAUACACCACCAAAUCCGGCUGGUUUUUAAAUUUUUUUGUAGAAAUAGGGUCUCACCAUGUUGCCCAGGCUGGUCUCGAAUGCCUGGGCUCAAGCAAUCCUCUCGCCUCAGCCUCCCAAAGUGCUGGGAUUAGAGGUGUGAGCCACCGAGCCUGUUCAGGGUAAAUAAUCUUUUUUUUUUCUUUUUUUUUUUUUUGAGACAGAGUCUGGGCCCAGGCUGGAGUGCAGUGGUGCAAUCUUGGCUCACUGCAACCUCCACCUCCUGGGUUCAAGUGCUUCCCCUGCCUCAGCCUCCCCAGUAGCUGGGAUUACAGGUGUGCGCCACCACGCCCGGCUAAUUUUUGUAUUUUCAUUUACUUUUAUUAAUUUUAUUUUUUGAGACAGAAUGUUGUUCUGUCACCCAGGCUGGAGUGCAGUGUGCAGUGGUGUGAUCUUGGCUCACUGCAACCUCUGCCUCCUGGGUUCAAGCGAUUCUCCUACCUCAGAUUCCUGAGUAGCUAGGACUACAGGCGUGCACCACCACGCCCGACUAACUUUUUGUAUUUUUAGUAGAGAUGGGGUUUCAUCAUGUUGGCCAGGCUGGUCUCGAACUCCUGAUCUCAGGUGAUCCACCCACCCUGGCCUCCCAAAGUGCUGGGAUUACAGGCGUGAGCCCCCAUGCCUGGCCAGGCUGAAUAAUCUUUUUUUUUUUUCUUUUUUUCGGCCAGGCUGAAUAAUCUUUUUUUUUUCCUUUUCUUUUGUUUUUUGAGAAAGAGUCUCACUCUGUCACCCAGGCUGGAGUGCGGUGACGUGAUCUUGUCUCACUACAGCCUCUGCCUCCUCGGUUUAAGCAAUUCUCCUGCCUCAGCCUCCUGAGUAGCAGGCGUGAGCCACCACACCUGGCCCCAGGCGAAUAAUCUUUUUUUUUUUCUUUGAAACGAAGUCUCUCUCUUGUCCCCCAGGCUGGAGAGCAGUGGCACGAUCUCGGCUCACUGUAACCUCUGCCUCCCGGGUUCAAGAGAUUCUCUGCCUCAGCCUGCCGAGUAACUGUGAUUACAAGUGUGUACCACUAUGCCCAGCUAAUUUUUUGUAUUAAGUAGACACGGGGUUUCACCAUGUUGGCUAGGCUGGUCUCGAACUCCUGACCUCAGGUGAUCCACCCGCCUCGGCCUCCCAAAGUGGUGGGAUUACAGGCUGAGCCACCGCGCCAGGCCAAAUAAUCUUAAUUGACCUAUUUUCUUUGUUUUUUUGAGUUGGAGUCUUGCUGUGUCACCCAGGCUGGAGUGCAGUGGCAUAAUCUCAGCUCACUGCAACCUCUGCCUCCUGGGUUCAAGCAAUUCUCCUGCCUCAGCCUCACGAGUAGCUGGGAUUACAGGCGUGUGCCUCUGCGCCCAGCUAAUUUUUGUAUUUUUAGUAGAGACGGGGUUUCGCCAUGUUGGCCAGGCUGGUCUCGAACUCCUGACCUUUGUGAUCUGCCCGUCUCUGCCUCCCAAAGUGCUGGGAUGACAGGUGUGAGCCGCCGCGCCCGGCCAAUUGACCUAUUUUCAAGUUCAUUGUCUUUUUUCUUCUGCUUCCUCAGACCUGCUACUGAGCCUCCCUCAAGUGAUUUUUCAUUUCAGAUAACCAAAUCUUUAUUUGGUUCCUUUUUAUAACUUCUUUCUCUUUAUUGAUAUUCUCUGUUUGGUGAGACAUUGUUCUCAUAUUCCUUUGGCUCUUUGAACAUAGUAUUUAUUUAUUUAUUUUUACUUUUUUCUUUGAACAUAUUUUAAAUGGCUAACUAAAAGUGUUUGUCUAGAACCCAGGCUUGGUGGCACACAACUGUUGUCACAGCUAUUUGGGAGGCUGAGGCAGGAGGAUCGCUGGAGCCCAGAAGUUCAAGUCAGGCCCUCUCUUAGAAAGUGUCUAGUAAGUCCAACAUCUGGGUGUCCUGAGGGACAAUUUCUAUUAUUACAUUUUUUUCCCUGUGUAUUGGCCACACCUGUGUUUUUCUACAUGCCUUGUAAUUUUUUUUUUUUUUUGAGACAGAGUCUCACCCUAUUGCCAGGUUGGAGUGCAGUGGCGAUCUUGGCUCACUGCAACCUCCACCUCCCAAGUUCAAGCAAAUCUCCUGCCUCAGCCUCCCAAGUAGCUGGGACUACAGGCAUGUGCUACCACACCCAGCUAAUUUUUGUAUUUUUGGUACAGACGGCGUUUCACCGUGUGGGCCAGGAUGGUCUUGAUCUCUUGACCUCGUGAUCCGCCCGCCUCGGCCUCCCAAAGUCCUGGGAUUACAGGAGUGAGCCACCGCACCCCCGGCCUGUUUUGCUUUGUUUUAAACUGGGUGUUUAGAAUAUUAUAAUGUAGCAACUCUGGAAAUAUGAUCCUACGCCCUCUCCCGGGUUUGUUCUUGCUGUUUGUUGCAGUAGUUAUUUGUUUAAUGACUUUUCUGGUUGUAAAGUCUGUAUUUUUUGUCACGUGUGGCUGUUUCUUCCUAUUCUUUUAGCCCAGUGGUAAGUGAUAGGACAGAGAUUUCCUUAAACAUCUGGAAUCAAAAAAACCUAUAAAACCCUCCCAGAGUUUGUAGAAGGGUCUGUGUGCAUGUGGGGUCAGCCCUUCCGCGGUUAAACACAUUUUCAACUCUGCCUUAGCUUUUGCUUCCUGUGUGUGCGGAGCCUGAAGGCGGCCAGACGUGAGAGCUUAGCUUCGGGCCCUCGCAGGCCUCUCCUGAGCUCCUGCACAGCUCUGUCUGCGUUCCAGGCCCUCAUCGCCCAGAGCAUUUUAUUCCCUGGCCUGUUUGGUUAGUCUGUUGUUUGCCUCAUCUGCUGUCUGUGGCCCCAGGCAGCAGAGAAUAAUAAAUUUGUUGUGAAUGUUUCCUACAAAUGUCCCCCAGGUAGCACCUCAGCACUGGGAGAAUGUCCAGUCAGGUGAGAUCAAGGCCAGCCCUUGAGCCAUACUCCCGUCCACAGUUGCAAAUAAAGUCUGUUCUUGGAAUCCUCAGGCCACCACCAGUCUAGGCAGUGGGAGAGGGACCAGGAUGAGUUAAAAUGCGACAAGGCUGUUUGUUCUGAGAUUCAGCUGGUUUAUCUUGAUAAGUCUUCUGGUGGCUGCAAGCUUUUGAGUAGUUCCAAAAAAGUUGAUUGUGACUUUUUUGCCAUUUUUAAAAAUUGCUUUUGAAGUUUCUUGCUCUGCUAUUUUCUGUCUUUCUUGAUGUCCUUCACCGAGUCUUGAAUUUAUAUAAAAAUAAGUCUUCCCUCAGUUCCGCAGAUGGGAGAAAAUCCUGAAAAGAAACAUGGUGAAAAUGAAACUGUGGUGUUGCCUGCUUGCCAGACACGAUUGUCUGCCCUGGGUUUUGGGUUCAGGCCUCAGAGUCUUCACGGAUGAGGCAUCUCAUGCCACAGCCCCAGUCAGAGACUCUUAUUCCAUUAUCAGAUGACUGGAACAGAAAAGGGGAACAGUUUCUGCUACUGGGAUUUGAGUGCAUCUAAUAGCAGCAGUCUCCGUGUCGAGCCCUCCCUUCUGUGGGCGGGGCGGGGACAAGGGGGAGGUUGGAAGGCGCUGAGUGAGCCACCUGCCCCUUCUCCUUCCUCAGGUUGUCUUUCUACUCGGGACACUCUUCCUUUGGGAUGUACUGCAUGGUGUUCUUGGCGCUGUAUGUGCAGGCACGGCUCUGUUGGAAGUGGGCACGGCUGCUGCGACCCACAGUCCAGUUCUUCCUGGUGGCCUUUGCCCUCUACGUGGGCUACACCCGCGUGUCUGAUUACAAACACCACUGGAGCGAUGUCCUUGUUGGCCUCCUGCAGGGGGCACUGGUGGCUGCCCUCACUGUCCGCUACAUCUCAGACUUCUUCAAAGCCCGACCCCCACAGCACUGUCUGAAGGAGGAGGAGCUGGAACGGAAGCCCAGCCUGUCACUGACGUUGACCCUGGGCGAGGCUGACCACAACCACUAUGGAUACCCGCACUCCUCCUCCUGAGGCCGGACCCCGCCCAGGCAGGGAGCUGCUGUGAGUCCAGCUGAGGCCCACCCAGGUGGUCCCUCCAGCCCUGGUUAGGCACUGAGGGCUCUGGACGGGCUCCAGGAACCCUGGGCUGAUGGGAGCAGUGAGCGGGCUCCGCUGCCCCCUGCCCUGCACUGGACCAGGAGUCUGGAGAUGCCUGGGUAGCCCUCAGCAUUUGGAGGGGAACCUGUUCCCGUCGGUCCCCAAAUAUCCCCUUCUUUUUAUGGGGUUAAGGAAGGGACCGAGAGAUCAGAUAGUUGCUGUUUUGUAAAAUGUAAUGUAUAUGUGGUUUUUAGUAAAAUAGGGCACCUGUUUGAC
rnacentral:sRNA from 1 species